UUUAUGAUUUUUUCAAGUUUUUUUUUUUUUUUUUAUUCUCUCU
rnacentral:ribozyme from 1 species